AGUGGAGGCAUGAGAAGCUAAAGCCACCCCCUGUCCCUACAAGCUCCUCAUUCCCUCUCCCCACAGCACUCCCUGCCAUUGAUGGUCUGGAUUCCACCACUUGUGUCCAUGGAGCAUCCUUCUCCGAUAGUGAAGAUGAAUCCUGUGUGCCACUGCUGCGGAAAGAGUCCAUCCAGCUAAGGGACCUGGACUCUGCGCUCUUGGCUGAGGUCAAGGAUGUGCUGAUUCCCCAUGAGCGGGUGGUCACCCACAGUGACCGAGUCAUUGGCAAAGGCCACUUUGGAGUUGUCUACCACGGAGAAUACAUAGACCAGGCCCAGAAUCGAAUCCAAUGUGCCAUC
rnacentral:lncRNA from 1 species